UACGUAGGGACCGAGCGUUGUCCGGAAUUAUUGGGCGUAAAGCGCGCGCAGGCGGUUCUUUAAGUCUGAUGUGAAAGCCCACGGCUCAACCGUGGAGGGUCAUUGGAAACUGGAGAACUUGAGUACAGAAGAGAAAAGCGGAAUUCCACGUGUAGCGGUGAAAUGCGUAGAGAUGUGGAGGAACACCAGUGGCGAAGGCGGCUUUUUGGUCUGUAACUGACGCUGAGGCGCGAAAGCGUGGGGAGCAAACAGG
rnacentral:rRNA from 1 species